GCGACGCCGAGCAAAUAUUAGAAGAAAUACGCUUUCAAUUCCCUUAAGCAAGCGGAACGAUGUCCCUUUUAGUGGAAUUGCAUGGUUGUAACCUUCGUCGCACUUAUGCUGGGCGUACCGAACACGGAGCCAUGCACUACGCUCUACAUCGGAUGCAGAAGGGAGCCCUUUCGGAACGGAGUCGUCGGCAGAAACAAAUCAUGGUUUCCAUCUCGCUCUAUCGACCCGAGGGAAUGGAAGAAGGUCCUUUGAAGAGCGCUAUGGAAGAAGGGCGCUUCAUCUGUGCUUUUUCCUUCGACGUCCUCGUCGUCUGUCCGCUUCCGCGUGCCAUUACUGCUCUCGCGAAGAGGCCAGUAAGGGAGCAGGGCGCAGAGAUGCAUCGGAUAUGAUUAAAAAGCAACAAGGGCUUUUUGAGGACUCUC